CCAUGUCAAACACCUUUAGAUAACCGUAGUUUAUUAUAUUCCAUGUUUAAGUAAUUCUUAAUAGUCAGGUAGGCUUUAAUACAUCCCAAAUUCCUGAUGUCAAAAUGUGCAGUAAAAUGUAUCCCUGCCAACUUUCACAAUUCAUAGGGGAUCUCCUUCAUGAGGUGUUGAUCUGAUUUUGAAAUUUUUCUUAUGUAAACUG
rnacentral:lncRNA from 1 species